UUACGGCCAUAUCACGUUGAAAAACCGGUUCCCGUAAGAUCACCGAAGAUAAGCAACGUCGAGCCUGGUCAGUACCUAGAUGGGUGACCGCUUGGGAAUAUCAGGUGCUGUAGG
rnacentral:rRNA from 1 species